CCUACGGGUGGCAGCAGUAGGGAAUAUUGCUCAAUGGGGGAAACCCUGAAGCAGCAACGCCGCGUGGGGGAUGAAGGAUUUAGGAUCGUAAACUCCUUUUGUUAGAGAAGAUUAUGACGGUAUCUAACGAAUAAGCACCGGCUAACUACGUGCCAGCAGCCGCGGUAAUACGGAGGGGGCAAGCGUUACCCGGAUUCACUGGGCGUAAAGAGUGCGUAGGCGGGGGAAUAAGUCAGAUGUGAAAUGCUGUAGCUUAACUACAGAACUGCAUUGGAAACUGUGACGCUGGAGUGUGGGAGAGGUAAGUGGAAUUCUUGGUGUAGGGGUAAAAUCCGUAGAGAUCAAGAGGAACACU
rnacentral:rRNA from 1 species